CCUCAAACUCAUCAGAAUUCUGUUGGCGAUAUUAUAAUUCUCGUCCUUUAUCUGUUAGUUGAUUACAUAUGAGUGUCAACCAUCCUUAGUUGGCACUCAUAUGUAAUCAAUUAUUUGUGGUAGAUUCUGAAAUGGCCUAGUUGUUUAAUAUAUGAUAAAUCUAAAAAGCAGCAUAAAGAAAAGGAUAUAAUUUUAUUCGAAAACAAUACUUUUAAAAUAAUCUAUAUUGCAACAGCAUCAGCCGGAUGGCCACGUGGCAGUGUGUUGUGCUUCCACCCAGUUCUCGAUUCCCACACUCCAAGUUUCUUCAGAAAUGGUGCAGGUCUCCACUUGUAGCUAAGUUCAUGAAGAGAUGUAGGCAGAACAUGGCGGAGAAGGAAAUGCCCUGUCGCUUAGUACUCGCCAAGUGGAAAGUGGCGAGGCAUUCCCCUGCCACUUUCCUUUUAGAAAAAUCUGUGUAUACCGUACGCAUAAAUUUUAUAAAUUUUUCUCUUGACGUGUACUAAAUAUUCUUAAUACAUAUUUUGGAAUCCCUUAGUAUUCUUCCUGAAAGUAUAACGCAAUGCUAUAGUUCUACUAUGUAUAAUUUGUGUAUAUAUAUAUAUUAUCUAUAUGUAUUGCAUAUAUAUGUUUAGUAUUGAGUUUUGAGAGAAG
rnacentral:lncRNA from 1 species